AGAGUCAGAGCAGGCAGUUGCGGACGCGGUAGCAACCCUACCCGUCUGAGGAAAGUCCGGACUCCCCAAAGACCAAGCCUGCUGGAUAACCCCCAGUGCGAGCGAUCGUGAGGAUAGUGCCACAGAAAAAUACCGCCAACAGAACGGCUGAAGGUCAAAGGCAGGGCGGAGAACACAAACUUCUCCCCCAUUCCUCCCUCAUCCCUCCUCAUUGGUAAGGGUGCAAAGGUGCGGUAAGAGCGCACCAGCAGCAUCGAGAGGUGCUGGCUCGGUAAACCCCGGCUAGGAGCAAGGUUGAAGGAACAACGGUUGGUCUUUUUCCAGUUCCAGGUUAUGAGGAGAAAACUUCUCAUAGCGAAUCCGCUUGAGGCAUCUGGUAACAGAUGUCCUAGAUAGAUAACUGCCCUUUGGUUGCCUGGCAUUCAAAGAACAGAACCCGGCUUAUGACUGGCUCUUCUC
rnacentral:RNase_P_RNA from 1 species